AUUAACGAGAGUUUGAUCCUGGCUCAGAAUCAACGCUGGCGGCGUGCCUCAGACAUGCAAGUCGAACGAUUAAAGCUCUCUUCGGAGAGUGUAUAGAGUGGCGCACGGGUGAGUAACACGUAAGUAAUCUACCUUUGAGUGGGGAAUAACAGUCGGAAACGACUGCUAAUACCGCAUAAUGCAGCGGCACCGCAAGGUGACAGUUGUUAAAGGAGCAAUCCGCUUAAAGAGGAGCUUGCGGCAGAUUAGCUAGUUGGUAAGGUAAUGGCUUACCAAGGCUACGAUCUGUAACCGGUCUUAGAGGACGGUCGGUCACACUGACACUGAAUAACGGGUCAGACUCCUACGGGAGGC
rnacentral:rRNA from 1 species